rnacentral:rRNA from 1 species
UACGAAGGGUGCAAGCGUUAAUCGGAAUUACUGGGCGUAAAGCGUGCGUAGGCGGUUUCUUAAGUCCGUUGUGAAAGCCCUGGGCUCAACCUGGGAACUGCGAUGGAUACUGAGGAGCUGGAGUACGGUAGAGGAAGGUGGAAUUCCCGGUGUAGCGGUGGAAUGCGUAGAGAUCGGGAAGAACAUCGAUGGCGAAGGCGGCCUGCUGGGCUGUUGCUGACGCUGAGGCGCGACAGCGUGGGGAGCAAACAGG